rnacentral:rRNA from 1 species
CAUCCGUGCUGGACCAUGUACAAGUCUCUUGGAACAGAGUAUCAUAGAGGGUGAGAAUCCCGUCCUUGACAUGGACUCCCAGUGCUUUGUGUUGUGCUCUCAACGAGUCGAGUUGUUUGGGAAUGCAGCUCAAAAUGGGUGGUAAAUUCCAUCUAAAGCUAAAUAUUGGCGAGAGACCGAUAGCGAACAAGUACCGUGAGGGAAAGAUGAAAAGCACUUUGGAGAGAGAGUUAAACAGUACGUGAAAUUGUUGAAAUGGAAACGCUUGAAGUCAGUCGCGUUCUCUGGGACUCAGCCUUGCUUUUGCUUGGUGCAUUUCCUAGUCUACGGGCCAGCAUGGAUUUUGACCGGCGGAAAAGGGCUUGGGGAAUGUGGCACCUCCGGGUGUGUUAUAGCCCCUUGUCGUACACGUCGAUUGGGAUCGAGGAAUUUCAGUGCACGCUUCGGUUGUGCUUUGAUGCUGGCGUAAUGGCUUUAAGCGACCCGUCUUGAAACACGGACCAAGGAGUCUAACAUGUCUGCGAGUGUUUGGGUGAAAAACCCGAGCGCAUAAUGAAAGUGAUAGUUGGGAACCUCUUUAGAGGGGCACCGACGCCCGGACCAGACCUUCUGUGACGGAUCCGAGGUAGAGCAUAUAUGUUGGGACCCGAAAGAUGGUGAACUAUGCCUGCAUAGGGUGAAGCCAGAGGAAACUCUGGUGGAGGCUCGUAGCGAUUCUGACGUGCAAAUCGAUCG